AGAGUUUGAUCAUGGCUCAGGAUGAACGCUAGCGGCAGGCUUAAUACAUGCAAGUCGAACGGUAAAUAGAUCAGCAAUGGUCUAUGAGAGUGACGCACGGGUGCGUAAUACGUAUGCAGCCUACCCUUUACAGGAGUAUAGCUCGGGGAAACUCGAAUUAACACUUCAUAGUAUAAUUGAAUGGCAUCAUUUGAUUAUUAAAUCUGCGGAGGUAAAGGAUGGGCAUGCGUCUGAUUAGCUAGUUGGUAGUGUAAUGGACUACCAAGGCGAUGAUCAGUAGGGGAACUGAGAGGUUGAUCCCCCACACUGGCACUGAGAUACGGGCCAGACUCCUACGGGAGGCAGCAGUAGGGAAUAUUGGUCAAUGGGUGAGAGCCUGAACCAGCCAUGCCGCGUGCAGGAAGACGGCCUUCUGGGUUGUAAACUGCUUUUGUCAGGGGAUAAAAUUUCCUUGCGAGGAAAAUUGAAGGUACCUGGCGAAUAAGCCACGGCUAACUACGUGCCAGCAGCCGCGGUAAUACGUAGGUGGCAAGCGUUGUCCGGAUUUAUUGGGUUUAAAGGGUGCGUAGGCGGCCUAUUAAGUCAGUGCUGAAAUAUUCCGGCUUAACCGGGAGGGUGGCAUUGAUACUGAUGGGCUAGAGUACAGAUGAGGUAGGCGGAAUUGACGGUAGCGGUGAAAUGCUUAGAUAUCGUCAAGAACACCUAUAGCGAAGGCAGCUUACUAGGCUGUAACUGACGCUGAGGCACGAAAGUGUGGGGAUCAAACAGGAUUAGAUACCCCAGUAGUCC
rnacentral:rRNA from 1 species